GCGUGAGUGAAGAAGGCCUUAGGGUUGUAAAACUCUUUCGGCGGGGAAGAUGAUGACGGUACCCGCAGAAGAAGCCCCGGCUAACUCCGUGCCAGCAGCCGCGGUAAUACGGAGGGGGCUAGCGUUGUUCGGAAUUACUGGGCGUAAAGGGCACGUAGGCGGCACGUUAAGUCAGGCGUGAAAGCCCUGGGCUCAACCUAGGAAUUGCGCUUGAGACUGGCGAGCUAGAGACCGGGAGGGGGUGGCGGAAUUCCCAGUGUAGAGGUGAAAUUCGU
rnacentral:rRNA from 1 species